AUAAAGUUAUCUGAUUGGUUUGAUUUGUGUUGUGUACAUUUACUUCUUGGGUAUAUUUGUGUUUUUGGACUUAUUUGUUUCUGUAUCGGUUGUUGACAGAAUGGAUAGGGUGCCAAAAAGAGAGGUGGCAUUAGGAAUAAUGGCUUUUUUGAGAGAAUUAGAGUUUGAUCUCUUCAUUUGGGUUGUGCAUAUUUCGUUUGAUCUCUUACUUUGGGUUGUGCAGAUUUCAUUUGAAUUAAUUUGGGUUGUGAGGAAGUGAAUAAUUAUUUGAAUUAAUUAAUUUCUCUUGGGUUGUGCAUAUUUCCUUUGAACUAAUUUGGGUUGUGUUUGAGCAUUGUACAUGCAUGAACGUGGGUAAAGAGUAUGAGGAUAAAGGGAAGAGAAAAUGUUGUGAUCAUCCACCUCAAACGAUUUGUUGAGAACUUGGAAUCAGCUUUUCACAUAACAUGGAUGAUGAAUAUAAGAAACUCAUACACAGAAUUACUCCACCAAGAUUUAUGCUACCUGGCAAUCAACGACUAAUAUUACUUUCAAGAAGGCAAGACCAACAUAUGGCAUGUCACAUCGGUAUAUUUUUCACAAACAGAUGAAUUUCACAAGUCGAAUUACCACCUCAAUAAUAGGAAAAAAAUACAUUUGAUCUCCGGUUAUAAGUUGUAUUCACAACUGUCCAAGAGAGUACAACAAAAGGUCAAUUUUUCCAUUGGAAGCACCUCAAGUUAGGAACAAGUCUGUUAUCCAAUUACAUUCAUGGCAUAUAACACUUGAAAGGUCAAUUUUCCAUUGGAAGCACCUCAAGCUAGGAACAAGUCUGUUAUCCAAUUACAUUCAUGGCAUAUAACACUUGAAAAAGCUAAUGAUGUAUUUCAACAUUG